rnacentral:tRNA from 1 species
GGUUAUAGCUCAGUUGGUAGAGUGCUUGCCUUGCAUGCACAAGGCCCUGGGUUCAAUCCUCAGCACCA